CUGCAGCCCGAGUGGUGAUCGAUUUUAUUGAGCCUAAAGCGUCCGUAGCCGGACUAGUAAACCCUUGGGUAAAUUGGGCAGCUUAACUGUCCGAAUUCCGAGGGGACUGCUAGUCUUGGAACCGGGAGAGGUCAGAGGUACUCAAGGGGUAGGGGCUAAAUCCUGUAAUCCUUUGGGGACCACCAGUGGCGAAGGCGUCUGACUAGAACGGAUCCGACGGUAAGGGACGAAACCCUGGGGCGCGAACCGGAUUAGAUACCCGAGUAGUCC
rnacentral:rRNA from 1 species